rnacentral:pre_miRNA from 1 species
GGUGCCGAUGACAGCGCCAUUUCCAGAGCUAUCAACAGUGUCAUUGUCAUAGCUCUUGGAAUGGUUCUGCCAUAAGCACU